rnacentral:rRNA from 1 species
GACGAACGCUGGCGGCGUGCUUAACACAUGCAAGUCGAACGGAAAGGCCCCUUUGGGGGUACUCGAGUGGCGAACGGGUGAGUAACACGUGAGUAACCUGCCCUUGACUUCGGGAUAACUUCAGGAAACUGGGGCUAAUACCGGAUAGGAAUCCUUGCUGCAUGGUGGGGGUUGGAAAGCUUCGGCGGUUUUGGAUGGACUCGCGGCUUAUCAGCUUGUUGGUGGGGUAGUGGUUACCAAGGCUUUGACGGGUAGCCGGCCUGAGAGGGCGACCGGCCACAUUGGGACUGAGAUACGGCCCAGACGCCUACGGGAGGCAGCAGUGGGGAAUAUUGCACAAUGGGCGGAAGCCUGAUGCAGCAACGCCGCGGGCGGGAUGACGGCCUUCGGGUUGUAAACCGCUUUCAGCAGGGGCGAAGCUUGUGGUGACGGUACCUGCAGAAGAAGCACCGGCUAACUACGUG